UACGUAGGGUGCGAGCGUUGUCCGGAAUUACUGGGCGUAAAGAGCUCGUAGGUGGUUUGUCGCGUUGUCCGUGAAAACUCACAACUCAAUUGUGGGCGUGCGGGCGAUACGGGCAGACUGGAGUACUGCAGGGGAGACUGGAAUUCCUGGUGUAGCGGUGGAAUGCGCAGAUAUCAGGAGGAACACCGGUGGCGAAGGCGGGUCUCUGGGCCGGAACUGACGCUGAGGAGCGAAAGCGUGGGGAGCGAACAGG
rnacentral:rRNA from 1 species